rnacentral:pre_miRNA from 1 species
UCUUAUAGGUGAAUAGAGAAAGUGGUUUCUUAAGAUGGAAUCUGCUCCCAGUGAAGAUGCUGUGAA